CCUACGGGAGGCAGCAGUGGGGAAUCUUGCGCAAUGGGCGAAAGCCUGACGCAGCAACGCCGCGUGCGGGAAGAAGGCUUUCGGGCUGUAAACCGCUUUCAGCAGGAACGAAAAUGACGGUACCUGCAGAAGAAGGAGCGGCCAACUAUGUGCCAGCAGCCGCGGUGAUACAUAGGCUUCAAGCGUUGUCCGGAUUUAUUGGGCGUAAAGAGUUCGUAGGCGGUCGAGUAAGUCGGGUGUGAAAAUUCUGGGCUCAACCCAGAGACGCCACCCGAUACUGCUUGACUUGAGUUCGAUAGGGGAGUGGGGAAUUCCUAGUGUAGCGGUGAAAUGCGCAGAUAUUAGGAGGAACACCGGUGGCGAAGGCGCCACUCUGGAUCGAUACUGACGCUGAGGAACGAAAGCAUGGGUAGCAAACAGGAUUAGAUACCCUGGUAGUCCAUGCCGUAAACGGUGGGCACUAGGUGUGGGUUUCUAUUAACGAAAUCCGCGCCGUCGCUAACGCAUUAAGUGCCCCGCCUGGGGAGUACGGUCGCAAGCUAAACUUAAGGAAUUGAAGG
rnacentral:rRNA from 1 species